UUCGUAUCAACAAAUCUGUGUACGAGUUAAUAACGCAGCCUGGUUCCCUGCAUUUUCAGUGACAGAGAACCAGAAUAAGAUUGUAGGGAAACAAGCCUUGUUACAAGGUUUGAGGGUCUCUGCUAGAAUCAUGUGGACCCAAGUGUAACAAAUCUAUGGAAAGAGAGAAAAUCUCAGCUCAAGGGUCAACAUGUCUUUAUUCCAAGAAAGAGUGUACAUAUGCCAGAAUCAUAUGGACCGCAGACUGGCCCUGGUGAUUCCGUUAAGUAAAAAGAGGAAAAAUCAGUGCUUGUGCUCAUUGGUCAUUGGACAAAGGGUGUAUGCCAGAAUUUUUUCAAGAACAAUCUGAAUCUGACAUGGAAAAAAUGAAGAAAAACAGCCUUCCUGUUUAUAAAUCUACAUUCUGACAAAGGUGAGCAUCUUUGAGGAAUGUUUACCUGGGUAGAACUCACGUGACUACCAGUAUUUUAAAUAAUUUAUUCCACGGGUGGGUUCAACAUAGGUCAUACAGGUAAAUAGCUCUUGCUUGUUAUAGGAAAAACAUUGAACUUUUCAUACAUUUUUAAUAUUUUAAGUACAAGCCUAAUCAUGUACAAAUUUCCUACUUUCACACAAGUUUUAUAAAUGUAUAAUGCAUUUUUUGUCAAUCGCACAAGUUUGUACAAUGUUAGGCUGACAAUAAACAAAAGCUUUGAAAUGAAUGACCGUCCUCGAUUUACUAUAGAAAAUCACGAAUGUCGGCUGACCCCUACCACAUUGUAUGGCUUUGUUCUUUGUAUAUUCAUGAAUUUCAGCGAUAAAAUUUGUUGAAUCUUAUGGUUUAGAUAUCAAUUAAUGAUCUGAGAUGGAAAAUUAUGCUUAAUUUAAUCCUUCAUUUUUUCACAUUUUACCGGGGCCCAUAAGUGAACUCG